rnacentral:lncRNA from 1 species
AAGAAAAGAAAUGUUUUUGAUGGAAUUAAGUAUGCUAUGUGAUAUACGUCACAGAAUAACUCUUUUCACAUAUAUAUCAUAUUGUACAUAUCUUUCUACACUCAUAUCUAUAUAUACAUUUAUGUUCAAAUGUACAUAUUAUUACACGCUUCCAUAUAAUUAUGUUUAACUAUUUACAACUUCAUUAGGAGAAGGACACAAAAUGGAAGAUGAUAAUGAAUUGGUGAGAAUCCAUCAAGGUGUACCUUUAGAUCCGGCUAAAGAUUAUACGUAUGUGUGAGCACACAAUUGUAUACAUAUAUAUAUAUGCACAGAUAUAACAAAAGUAAUAUUAUUAAAUGUAUGUACUUUUUCAGAGAAGCUGUCAAAAAUAAAAAUAAGCAAAUGACUUUUAAAAAUUAUGGUUUUUGGCAUCCCCCGUCUAAUCAUGUUUUUUCUUAUCCUGAUAUAAAAGCUAAAGGAAGAGGUGGCUAUGCUAGUGAAAUAAUAAAGGCACAAAUCAUUCAAAAUAAACAUGAAAAUAUUAAAAAGAAGGUACCUAUAUAUAUAUAUAAUUAAUUAGUUUAUAAUUUAUAACAUUGCUUUAUAUAUAAUUCUACUCGUCUUUUGCUUAUAAUACAAUUUUGUUGUUUUUUUCAGAUGAAUGUAGAAAACAUAAAUGGUAACUUACUAUUAUUUGC